rnacentral:rRNA from 1 species
CCUACGGGAGGCAGCAGUGAGGAAUAUUGGUCAAUGGACGCAAGUCUGAACCAGCCAUGCCGCGUGCAGGAAGACGGCUCUAUGAGUUGUAAACUGCUUUUGUACGAGGGUAAACGCAGAUACGCGUAUCUGUCUGAAAGUAUCGUACGAAUAAGGAUCGGCUAACUCCGUGCCAGCAGCCGCGGUAAUACGGAGGAUUCAAGCGUUAUCCGGAUUUAUUGGGUUUAAAGGGUGCGUAGGCGGUCUGAUAAGUUAGAGGUGAAAUCCCGAGGCUCAACUUCGGAAUUGCCUCUGAUACUGUUCGGCUAGAGAGUAGUUGCGGUAGGCGGAAUGUAUGGUGUAGCGGUGAAAUGCUUAGAGAUCAUACAGAACACCGAUUGCGAAGGCAGCUUACCAAGCUACUUCUGACGUUGAGGCACGAAGGCGUGGGGAGCGAACAGGAUUAGAUACCCGGGUAGUC